GUCCUCGACAUGACCGACUCUUUCCUGUUCCAUCUGGUCUGCCUGAGGGCCAUCCACAAAGUUACCCACUGAACGUAUCUGUCGCACCUUACUACUAUCACU